rnacentral:rRNA from 1 species
UACGUAGGGGGCGAGCGUUGUCCGGAGUUACUGGGCGUAAAGCGCACGCAGGCGGUCUGCUAAGUUUGGAGUGACAGUUGGUGGCUUAACUGCCAACGUGCUUCGAAAACUGACAGACUUGAGGGCUUCAGAGGGACACGGAAUUCCGGGUGGAGUGGUGAAAUGCGUAGAGAUCCGGAGGAACACCAAAGGCGAAGGCAGUGUCCUGGGGAGUACCUGACGCUCAGGUGCGAAAGCCAGGGGAGCGAACGGG